GACGAACGCUGGCGGCGUGCUUAACACAUGCAAGUCGAACGGAAAGGCCCUGCUUGCAGGGUACUCGAGUGGCGAACGGGUGAGUAACACGUGGGUGAUCUGCCCUGCACUUCGGGAUAAGCCUGGGAAACUGGGUCUAAUACCGGAUAGGAGCCAUUUUUAGUGUGAUGGUUGGAAAGUUUUUUCGGUGUAGGAUGAGCUCGCGGCCUAUCAGCUUGUUGGUGGGGUAAUGGCCUACCAAGGCGGCGACGGGUAGCCGGCCUGAGAGGGUGGACGGCCACAAUGGGACUGAGAUACGGCCCAGACUCCUACGGGAGGCAGCAGGGGGGAAUAUUGCACAAUGGGCGCAAGCCUGAUGCAGCGACGCCGCGUGGGGGAUGACGGCCUUCGGGUUGGAAACUCCUUUCGCUAGGGACGAAGCUUUUUGUGACGGUACCUAGAUAAGAAGCACCGGCUAACUACGUG
rnacentral:rRNA from 1 species